rnacentral:tRNA from 1 species
GCGGAUGUGGCGGAAUUGGUAGACGCACCAGAUUUAGGUUCUGGCGCCGAGAGGCGUGAGAGUUCGAGUCUCUCCAUCCGCACCA